rnacentral:lncRNA from 1 species
CCCCCCCCGCCCCUUCCCGGGCCCACGGGUGCUCGCUCGCUCCCCUCCUCUCUCAUAAGUAAGCCUCUGGGACGCCGCUGGCUCGGGGGUGAAGCAUUCAGCUCGUGGACGCGGCACGAUCGGGGCCUGAGAUCGAGUCCGGCCUAGGGCUCCCUGCUUCUGCCCUUCUUCCUGCCCCUCCGUGCUCUGCUCUCUUUCAAAUAAAUAAAAUCUUAAAAAAAAACCUUUGAAAAAAAAAAAAGAAGAAAAUGAGUCAUUGUGGACCCUGAGGCCUACGUCAAUGGCUCCCGGUUGGUUUCCUAUUGUACUUCUCAUUAUGUUCCUCCAGUUUGGGUGGCUUUUCCUCAAGGAAGAAGAACGUGCGGAGUUUAGAAAGAAUAUUCUGAUACGGCCUAAGUCAUUGGACUCCUGGAAACUCCACCAACAGAACAGACUCCUGGAGAUUGAUGAUGGAAGAAGGCUCAGGGGAAUUUAAAGUUUCAAGACCUUCAGACUCAUCCAUGUCUGCAUUCUCUAGCCUGAGAUCCUGUUCCUUCUCCACUGGUGUCUUUAGCUAAAAAACCUGGGGCAUUGAGCAUUAAUUGGUGCUGAAAGUUAACCCUUACAAUAAAUUCUUAUCUAUGGUCCUCA